CUUUAGGGAGAGCUGUGCGACAGCUGCACCACUAGCAAGGGGUUGGGACUCACGACUGCCAGGAGCCAGCUGUCCACCUUGCAGACCUCAGAGCAGAAGGAGCCUCAGAACAGUUUAAAUCAUGGAGAAGCACGGCAAGCAAACCGAGCCUCCCUACCCGGGACCAUAUUUGCCAGCUAUCCAAGGACCACCAGAACAUGCUGCUUACCCCAUUCCUCAGGCUGACUACCAAGGGUCCCAGGGUCCCUAUCCAGGACCGCAGGGUCCAUAUCCAGGGCCCCAGGGUCCCUAUGCAGGGCCUCAAGGUCCCUAUCCAGGGCCCCAGGGUCCCUAUGCAGGGCCCCAAGGUCCCUAUCCAGGGCCCCAACCUGGCUACCCAGUUCCACCAGGCAGUUAUGCAGGUGGUGACCCAAGUGGCUUUCCUGUCCAACAUCAGCCGGCGUAUAAUCACCCAGGUGGACCUGGGGGCACCCCAUGGAUGCAAGCACCACCUCCACCCCUGGACUGUCCGCCUGGGCUGGAAUACUUAACGCAGAUAGAUCAGAUUCUGGUUCAUCAGCAGAUUGAACUUCUGGAAGUCUUAACAGGCUUUGAAACAAAUAACAAAUAUGAAAUCAAGAACAGCCUUGGGCAGAGGGUUUACUUUGCGGUGGAAGAUACGGACUGCUGCACUCGAAACUGCUGUGGGGCGUCUAGACCGUUCACCUUGAGGAUCCUGGAUAACAUGGGCCGAGAAGUCAUGACUCUGGAGAGACCCCUGAGAUGCAGUAGCUGCUGCUUCCCCUGCUGCCUCCAGGAGAUAGAAAUCCAGGCUCCUCCUGGGGUGCCAGUAGGUUAUGUGAUUCAGACCUGGCACCCAUGUCUGCCAAAGUUCACUCUCCAAAAUGAGAAGAGGCAGGACGUUCUAAAGGUCGUUGGUCCGUGUGUUGUGUGUAGCUGCUGUUCAGACAUUGACUUUGAGGUAAGAAAUAUAAUGACUACGACAGGAUGCAUUUUCCUGACAUGAAAGGAAUAUAUCCCAAUAGGGUAUUAUUAUUGCAUUACCUAAAAAGUGUGAAUGGAUGUGUUCAUCUGAUAAUGAUUACUCUGAUUUAAGGUCAGUGUAGAUAAAAAGCAGGGUUUGUAAUGUGGGAAAAGGAGAAGGAAAGAAUAUUUUUAAAAUUUCAGCUUAAAGUCUGUUUGGGUAAGGAGACAGCUCAGUUUACAAAGUGCUCACUGUACAGGUAAACUACAUUUGAAACCCCAGCAUCCAUGAAAAAGCCUGGCACAGAAGCAAAUGCCCAUCUGUCUUCUAGUACUGGGGAAAUGUGGAAAAAAGACUGCCAGGGAAAAAAAAUGGGUCAGCAAGUGAGAGAUCCUGUUUCAAAAAUAAGACCUCAGCAGUAAAACAAAACAAAAC
rnacentral:lncRNA from 1 species